GCGAAAGUGGCGGAAUCGGUAGACGCGCCGGGUUUAGGUCCCGGUGGGGUUGAUAGCCCCGUGAGAGUUCGAGUCUCUCCUUUCGCACCA
rnacentral:tRNA from 1 species